UGCAAAAGAUGACAAAGCUUUUGAAAGUCAA
rnacentral:piRNA from 1 species